rnacentral:rRNA from 1 species
AUGUUCGCCGGGCAGCUCUGCGACCUCGCGCUCUCCGGUGAUGAAUCAUCCGCCGCGGCACCGUCGUGCAGCUCGACGCGCACGGCAGAGGGCGGCUCCUCCCCAGCCUUGCCGCCUUCCUCCGCGCGGUUCUGCUCGGGUGACGAUGCGGUGCAGCUACGACGAGGACCGCCGACCAGGCGCCUUCAAAUCCUCAGCCCCAUGAAGCAAGCCCGAGGAGGAGGACAAGUUCCUGGGGUCCUCAUCGCCAUUGCAGGGGACUUUGGUUGCUCUGCUCUAGGGCCAGCAUAUUUGCACCAUGAUUGCUCACCGGGGAUCGCCCUCCACCAGGACAUCAAAGCCAGCAACAUCCCUACUGGACAGAUGCUUGGAGUCGAGAGCAACUUCCUUCUCAACGGAGGGGUUUCAGAGGGCGAAGCCGGUCAUCAUCGAUCCGGGGCUCUACAUGGAGAAGGUGGACGUGCUCUAGAUACCACAGUGCCGGAGCGUGCCAACAGGCUUCAAGCUCUUCACCGGAGAGCUAGUUCCUCAAUUUCUUGGGGUUCAUGUGGAAUCGCUCUCUCAUGGGUCAUGGCGUCGGCCGCCAUCAUGGCCAUUGCGCUAGCAAACGGAGGGGGUAAGCCACUG